rnacentral:rRNA from 1 species
UGGGGAAUUUUGGACAAUGGGCGAAAGCCUGAUCCAGCAAUGCCGCGUGAGUGAAGAAGGCCCUUGGGUUGUAAAGCUCUUUCGUUUGGGAAGAAGGAAGUGUGGCUAAUAUCCACGCUGACAGACGGUACCAAAAUAAGAAGCACCGGCUAACUACGUGCCAGCAGCCGCGGUAAUACGUAGGGUGCGAGCGUUAAUCGGAAUGACUGGGCGUAAAGGGUGUGUAGGCGGUUUGUUAAGUCUGAUGUGAAAUCCCCGAGCUUAACUUGGGAACUGCGUUGGAUACUGGCAAACUAGAGUACGUAAGAGGGGGGUAGAAUUCCACGUGUAGCAGUGAAAUGCGUAGAGAUGUGGAGGAAUACCGAUGGCGAAGGCAGCCCCCUGGGACGAUACUGACGCU